UACGGAGGGUGCGAGCGUUGUCCGGAAUCACUGGGCGUAAAGGGCGCGUAGGCGGCCGGAGAAGUCGGUGGUGAAAGCUCGGGGCUCAACUCCGAGUCGGCCACCGAUACUGUUCGGCUCGAGUUUGGUAGAGGCAGAUGGAAUUCCGGGUGUAGCGGUGAAAUGCGCAGAUAUCAGGAGGAACACCAAUUGCGAAGGCAGCUCGCUGGGACGUUACUGACGCUGAGACGCGAAAGCGUGGGGAGCAAACAGG
rnacentral:rRNA from 1 species